rnacentral:rRNA from 2 species
GACAACCAGGAGGUUGGCUUAGAAGCAGCCACCCUUGAAAGAGUGCGUAAUAGCUCACUGGUCUAGUGAUUCCGCGCCGACAAUGUAGCGGGGCUCAAGCGUACCGCCGAAGUCGUGUCAUUGCAGCGUGAAGCCCCAACGGGUGUUGUGAUGGGUAGGGGAGCGUCGUGUGCCGGGUGAAGCUGCCGCGUAAGCGAGUGGUGGACGGUUCACGAGUGAGAAUGCAGGCAUGAGUAGCGAUUCACACGUGAGAAACGUGUGCGCCGAUUGACU